GUGCUGCAAGCCCCCUGUGACACAGCAGCCACUCACACCCGGUAUCAGCAGCUGAUCUUCCCCUGUGCUCAGCACCCAGGGAACCAGGCGAAAGCAAGGGAUGCAAGGAGGAGGCACCCCCAAGUAGCUGGGCUUAGUCACUGAACAAGCCAAGCCCAGCCUGAAUACUUCAGAGCACAUUAAACAGCUUCGAGCAUGUUUUGGAAAAGCACUGGAGACAAACAGUUUAUUUCAGGGUACCUCAGAUGCUCCCUGCAAACACUAACAAACACCUCCUGCAGUGAAAGAAACCGAAGAAGUGUUGAGCUGAUCAGCUCUGCAGGAUCACAGCCAGACAGAUGCUACAGGAAAGUAUCAGAGUCAUCUCUACCUGUGCAAGGCUCCAUAGCCAAAGUCUCUUAUUGCCUUGUCAGGAAUAAAUGAGUGUUCAGAUGGGUAAA